AUUGAACGCUGGCGGCAUGCUUUACACAUGCAAGUCGAACGGUAACAGGCCGCAAGGUGCUGACGAGUGGCGAACGGGUGAGUAAUGCAUCGGAACGUGCCCAGUCGUGGGGGAUAACGCAGCGAAAGCUGUGCUAAUACCGCAUACGAUCUGUGGAUGAAAGCGGGGGACCGUAAGGCCUCGCGCGAUUGGAGCGGCCGAUGUCAGAUUAGGUAGUUGGUGGGGUAAAGGCCUACAAAGCCAACGAUCUGUAGCUGGUCUGAGAGGACGACCAGCACCACUGGGACUGAGACACGGCCCAGCCGCCGGCGGGAGGCAGCAGUGGGGAAUUUUGGACAAUGGGCGCAAGCCUGAUCCAGCAAUGCCGCGUGCAGGAAGAAGGCCUUCGGGUUGUAAACUGCUUUUGUACGGAACGAAACGGUCUGGGUUAAUACCCUGGGCUAAUGACGGUACCGUAAGAAUAAGCACCGGCUAACUACGUGCCAGCCGCCGCGGUAAGAC
rnacentral:rRNA from 1 species